rnacentral:rRNA from 1 species
AUUGAACGCUGGCGGCAGGCCUAACACAUGCAAGUCGAGCGAGCGGCGGACGGGUGAGUAAUGCCUGGGAAUUGCCCAGUCGAGGGGGAAAACAGUUGGAAACGACUGCUAAUACCGCAUACGAUGGGAUUGCCCAGGGGGGGUUAGCUGGUUGGUGAGGUAAUGGCUCACAAAGGCGACGAUCCCUAGCUGGUCUGAGAGGAUGAUCAGCCACACUGGACCUAAGACACGGUCCAGACACCUACGGGAGGCAGCAGGGGGGAAUAUUGCACAAUGGGGGAAACCCUGAUGCAGCCAUGCCGCGUGUGUGAAGAAGGCCUUCGGGUUGUAAAGCACUUUCAGCGAGGAGGCGCUACACGCAGAAGAAGCACCGGCUAACACCGUGCCAGCCGCCGCGCGAAUAC